GGGCGGAUCGCUCAGCCCGCGGAGCGUCUCGCUAACACCGAGAAGGCGGCCAGUUCGAGCCCUGCUCCUCCCACCA
rnacentral:tRNA from 1 species